GAACGCUGGCGGCAGGCCUAACACAUGCAAGUCGUACGAGAAGGUUCCUUCGGGAACUGGAGAGUGGCGCACGGGUGAGUAACGCGUGGGGACCUACCUUUUAGUGGGGGAUAACGGUUGGAAACGACCGCUAAUACCGCAUACGCCCUUCGGGGGAAAGAUUUAUCGCUAAGAGAUGGACCCGCGUUGGAUUAGAUAGUUGGUGAGGUAACGGCUCACCAAGUCUUCGAUCCAUAGCUGGUUUGAGAGGAUGAUCAGCCACACUGGGACUGAGACACGGCCCAGACUCCUACGGGAGGCAGCAGUGGGGAAUAUUGGACAAUGGGCGCAAGCCUGAUCCAGCCAUGCCGCGUGAGUGAAGAAGGCCUUCGGGUUGUAAAGCUCUUU
rnacentral:rRNA from 1 species